UACGGGGGGGGGCGAAGCGUUGUUCGGAAUCACUGGGCGUAAAAGCGCACGUAGGCGGAUUGCUAAGUCAGGGGUGAAAUCCUGGAGCUCAACUCCAGAACUGCCUUUGAUACUGGCGAUCUCGAGUUCGGGAGAGGUGAGUGGAACUGCGAGUGUAGAGGUGAAAUUCGUAGAUAUUCGCAAGAACACCAGUGGCGAAGGCGGCUCACUGGCCCGAUACUGACGCUGAGGUGCGAAAGCGUGGGGAGCAAACAGG
rnacentral:rRNA from 1 species